UGGAUGACAUUGAUGUUGAUAUAAUAAAAAAACUAUCAUUUAUGCUAUAAUUUAUCCGGUUAUAUCAUCUUUAAUUACAAGUAGCCGGUGAAAAAAAAAGGAAAGAGAUAACGUCAUAUGUUUUAAGGUGUGGACACUUUAAUAGCUAACUGUUCAGAAUGAGAGAUAUGAAUGACAUCCACGUAACUUGUGUUUAUUACCACUUACAAUUUUAAAUUAUAUUAGUGAUGUGGUUCCAUGAAAUAAAUAAAUGAAUUAAUCGUGUAAAAACUGAAAUGAAUUGAGUGCAUAAUGAAAAAUAAAAGGAUGGUUUCAUUUCAUAUGAGAAAUAAUAUAUGACUCUAACCCAACACACAACUCUUAAAUAUUAAACCCAUACCUAAUUUUUGAAUAUUAAACCCUAAACUGUUAUCACUAAACUCAAACCUAAAUCUCCACCUUCCAAAUACUAAACCCUAAAUGCUAAUCACUAAACCCAAAAUUCUAAUCACUAAACCCUAAACCCAAGUAUAGACCAUAAACCCAAGUGACCCUAAACCCAGAUAGAAUGUAACAAAAAUAUAAUAUUGUUUAUUAAACCCAAACCUCUACUUACUAAAUUUAAACCCUAUACAUGAACCUAUAAACCCAAAUACAAUCAAUAAAUUAUUUUUCAGUAUUGGACACUUGAAGGCACAUUUACUUGGUUAGGAUGUUACAUAUCUUCUAUUCCAUAUAGUCUACAUAGUAUAGUACACGAAUAUUUAAAAUAAUCAAAAAAUUUCAAAAGUGUAUCCAUAGUAUGAAAUGCAAAUAGUAAAUUCUCUUCACCCGAAAAAUAUAACAAUACAAGACACACCAUUAAUUAUUAAAUCUAAACCCUAAUUAAGGAAGCAUAAACCCAAAUAGUAUAUAUAUAAUAUGUUUUACUAUACUCAAACCUUUACUUAGUAAAUCUAAACCCUAGGCACGAACCUAUAAACCCAAAUACAAUCUAUAAUUUUUUUUCCAAUAUUGGACACUUGAAGGCACAUUUUGAAUAUUAAAUCUUAAACUGCUAUCACUAAACCCAAGCCUUAACCACACACCUUCCAAAUACUAAACUUUAAACUCUAAUCAACCUUAAUCACGCACCUUCCAAAUACUAAACUUUAAAUCCCUAAACCCAAAUAGAAUGGAAUAAAAUAAAUAGUAUAGUACAUUUAAAUCCAAAUAUAAUCCCUAAACCCAAAUAGAAUGAAAUAAAAUAAAUAGUAUAGUACAUAUUGGUGAACAAAAUAGAACACUCUUUAUUAAUUGUCAAAUGAAACGAUACAUGUUCACUAAACCCAAAUUCCAACCCUGUCCUUCUAAAUACUAAACCCUAAAUCCUAAUCAAUAAACCCUAAACCCAAGUAUAAACCCUAAACCCAAAUAUAAACCAUAAACCCUAAACUCAAAACCCAAAUCUCAAAAUCUAAUACUGGCCUCAAACUCACUCCUAUUACUCUAAAUACUAAACCCUAAUCACUAAUUACAAAACCCUAAACUCAAAUAUAAACUCUAAAUCCAAAUAUCAAAAUCUAAAAUAAUACAUAAUAUUAUGUAAUAUUAAUUUAUACUAUAUAAAUAUUAUUUAUAGUUGAGAAAUGUAGUAUAGUACACUAAUAUAAGAGUUUAUUUGUCAUCUAUCCAAAAUUGGUUUUAAUCAUUACACUUAAACCAAUAUAGUAUGAAUUUCAUAUUACAAUCAAUUACACAAAAUGACAUAGAAGAAAACUAUCAAAUUUGUAAAUAUGAAGAUGAUUACAUUUUUAAGGGAUUGUUUAGAUAUAUAUCCCAAAGAAUAUAGUAACUUUACAUAAAUAACUACACUAAAGAAUAUAUACUAUACUAUUCAUUUCCCGAAUAUAGUAUAGACGAUAAGUUCAUCUUCUUCAAUUCUUCUUUUGUCAAACAUGCUGGUACACCUUCACCUCGUUCACUGUCGUUAUUUUUCACUACCAUAUAGAGAUCAUCUUCAUUUUUUCUCCUUUUUUUCCGACACGGCGACGCUUUUACCGGUCCGCCGUCGUUAUUCUUCCCCAUUGGAUCACUAAAACAAAAAAAGAAACGAAAACAAAGUAUGAAAACAAAAGCAUGAUGUGAGAAUCAAUGAUUUAAGAGAAAGAGAAAAAUAAAUGAAAUAGUUGUUAUGUUUGCUCACCGUAUACGCCUUCAUCGUUGUUCUUUGUUCUUCUCAUGAGAAGAAAUUCAGUUCAAGAAGAUGUGUGCAUAAUAAAAGACCACGUUCAUCUUCAUCUUCAUGAAAGCUAUCUAAUUAUCUUGAGAGGUGAGAGUGAAUACAACGUGUUUCGAAACGUAAAAUGAACUUCUUUAUCUUUGAUUUUCUACGACUAAAUGAGCAGGAAGACCAUAUGCUAACAUCUGAAAUGCGGCCGUUACUUUUUGCAAAGACGAUAAUCCAACCAUAUCUGCUGCAUCCCGUUUUUGUGUGAAGUAGUUGUCAUAACUUUCAACGGCUUCGAUUAUACGAAGGAAUAGAGGGCGCGACAUACGAUAUGUCCUACGAAACAACAUCAUUGUACAUCGGCGUCUCCGAAAAGUAAUCGUUGAACAAUCUAUAACUUGGUGAUCAAACAACAUCAGUUAUCAAUACUUUAAAAGAAGGAAAUACUGAAUUUUUGAAACAACUAAAAAAGACAAGAGCACAACGAAAAUAUCACUCGUAGAUUUAAAAGAAGAAUUAUGCUUUGAAUGAGCUGGAAAAAGAAAACAAAUAUUUAUUUUUUGACUUGAAUUCAAUGCAAGAUCUAGAAGUUCUUGCAUAUUUUCAAGAGGAACUAACACAAACGUAGUGUAUGGUGAUACCAAUGGCAUAUUAUGUAAUUUGUCUAGUAAUUAAAGGAUUCUUUUAACUGUGGGUUGAAGAGGCACGUGGAGUUGACGCAUCAUUAAAAUGGCAAGUAUGUAAAUAAGAUAUCAAACCAAUGUUAUUUUUUUUAAAUGCUUUCCUUUUAAUAAGCAAGGGAAGGGAUUUUAUUUCUUAGUUUUAGCUUAAGGGUGAAUUUGCCAAAUAACCAAGUUUGCAAUAAAAUUUAAGCCAAUAGCACUGAUUUUGACAUUAUUAACCUAGUAACAUUUUGUCCAUGAUUGAGUCGGUUAUACCCUCUCUUUUGACAAGUACCCGGUGAAAAAAGAAGAGCGUGGAUGACAUCAUCAAUUAUAGUUAUAGCUAUAAAUGAAACACAAUUAUUAUAAUUCCAUCACGUAGUGGAAACCACACCAAACAUUUAUUUACCACAUACUUAUUUAUUAUAGUAUGCAAUUUAUGAUAGUGCAACUAAACUUUACUAUAAACCUAGACCCAUAAAGCGUGCAAUUUAUGAUAGUGAAAUUUAUGAUAGUGCAAUUAACCAUGCACAGUAAAGCGUGAAUAAAAUUAGAACACCUUUGCAAUAAAUGGUAUAUUUCAUUACUUACUAAACAGAAGUGUUCUCUUUAGUAUAACAAAAUAGUAUAAAAGAACAACUCUAACCCAACUCCUAAAUAAUAAAUUUUAUCCCAACAUCACCUACUCCAAGCCUCUAAAUACUAUACCCUAAACACUAAAUCCGAAAUCUAAAUACAAACCCUAAACCCAAAUACAGAAUGUAUUUCAUAUCACUGAAAUAGUAUAGGACUCUAAGUCUCUAACUCAGCACACAACUCCUAAAUGCUAAACCCAGAUCCAACUUUUGAAUAUUAAACCCUAAACUGCUAUCACUAAACCCAAACCUUAACCACGCACCUUCCAAAUACUAAACUUUAAACUCUAAUCACUAAAC
rnacentral:lncRNA from 1 species